AAUAGGAGCAUGACAAAUCAUAUUUUUCUUCCUAAUUUUCAGCUUUUUCCUUCAGAAAAAAUUCAAGUCCAACUAAAAAUGCUAAAAAUCAGGAGAAAAAAUCCGAUUUAUCAUUCUCCUAAU
rfam:Gossypium arboreum cultivar AKA8401 contig_1448_1, whole genome shotgun sequence.